AAAGAGCUAGUUAGAGUUUAAGUGUGACAUGUCUGUUGUUGAUCCUCUAAAGGAGGAUCAGAUCAUACUCACAUAGUCUGUUUUGAGCUUGGUGGUGGUGCGUCACCAAGCAGUGCACUCGGAGGUUGUCAUAAUGAUGGGCUAAAUAUUUGCCCAUGACUAAAGUAUUGUCCAGCAGACGAUCUCCGUCGGGAGGGCAGCUUAGCCCGAUUAUUCGGGGAUUGCGUUGGUGAGUUAUUGUUAACCAAGGGUUAACCAAUGGAAUUGGGUAUUUAAUAAAAGUCCAUGCAUGCAUAUUCACCAGUUUCAUAUAUUACUUCUUUCAGCUUUUGUACAGGCAUUGUAGCAGUUACAUGUUAUACUUGGUUACUAUUGUUUACUUUUCUUGUCUACAUACGCUUGAAUAGACCUAGUGGGUGAUUGGCGAGGUGGGGGCCGAACCACUGGAAACUUUUUAGUAGUUCUCAUACACUAACCAUACAGGUUCUAGUGCGAGCGGUGUGGUCGAGGAUCGCGGCAAGAGCCUGCAGCUUAGCUAGCAGACACCAGUGUUUGGUAUAUACACGUUUGGUUCCAUAUUGUACAUAAUGGAUGAAUAGAGACUUGUAAAUGAAUGUAUAAAAAGCAUGUAAAUAACUAAAUGUUUCAGUUAUUAGUUAUGUAUAGUUUCAGUUUUAAAAGUUUAUAAAUUACAGUGAAUUUUAUGUAUAGUUAGUUACUUCACUUGUGUUUUUCUGUUGCUUGCCCUCGUGCAGCAUGUAUAUUGAAAUAUUCUCCUGGGAUUAUUUCUUUCUUUAUCGGUAGACUAUAAUUGUUGAGCCUUGGGUGGACAGGGAGGUGCUGUCCGUUCGGCGUCUGUGUAGCGGGCCCGGAUCGACAAAUUGGCGAUAGCGGACGUGACAGAUUAAUAGUAUCAGAGCAAUGGAAGAAAGUAUAGGAUGGACGUAGGGAUCUUAGGAUGGAAACAUAAGGAUCUAGGUUCGUGGGAGACGAGAAUCUUAGUGUGUGCGAAAGAUAAACCGAUUGGUGCUAUAUGUUAUAAACCUUACAAAGGAUGUUGGAGUGAAUCCAGGUGUAGUUUAUUCUCAGCAGAGGAGAGUUUCAUGUUGGAUGCGUACCAUGAAACGAGUGAUGAGAAUAGGCUCCCUUGUAUGAUUGCUGAUUUGAGUCGGGUUGACGAUAGUUGUCUCGUGUUUGCACUGGAGGGUCAAAUUUGUCACGUUAUUGUGCGUUUCUCUGUUUUGUGUCGCCAUCUCUAAUGAGAUGGAUGUGGUUUGGGGAUGAGUGAAGUCCCUAAACUGACUGAGCUUAGAGGGAAACUCGAAGACUCUGGGGUCGAUUAGUCAUGUUUGUUGUAGUAUGGUAGCGAUGAGUCACUGUGAUGCAAUGUCAACAGGUUGUCUUUGCGUUUGGCGGAUUGGAUCGAUGAGCUUCAGAGGGCUGUGAAGUAGGUAAUGUGGCUCCUGGCUUUGUGCACAGAAAAUAAAAUGAAGAGCGAUUAUAGAUUGGUUCCGAGAAGUGUUUUCUCUGUAGGAUUUGUAUAUCUAGAACAGAAUAAAGAAUAUAUUGUUAAGAGUAACGACAGGUGAAUUAUCGGAUAAGCUUUGAUGCUAUAGCAGGGUGCUGCUCAGUGGAAGAGUAUGUAGGAGAAGUUUUCUGCACACUAAAUUGUGUUUAGUACACAAUGUGAGAUAUUGGACUGUUAUGGUGGGUGAAGACUUACAACCAAUGUGUCGGAGUGUGGCAUUUAUGAAUUGCAAUCCUCUGAUGAAGUAUUAAAUUAGACCUUGUGGUGAAGUCAGGUGAGUUUCGUGUGGAGAGAGCGCGAACUAAUUAGUUGAUAAUGGAGGAUGAUUGACUAAUGUAUGGUUUGGUGAUCAAUGCGACCAUGAGCGACACCAAAGUAGAAUUGUGUCGCGAUUCAAUGUCGAAAAGGUCUUCUGCUGACUAUUUCGAGAGGAAUGGUUGUUGUGAUUUCACCCACGUGGGAUGGUGUGUGUUGUUGAUGGAUGAGGUUGUAGUAGAGUUGGAUCUUCAAUAAGAGAAAAUUGUAUGCUUAGAGAUGAUGUGAACCUAAGCGAGACAUGCAAGAAUACGUACAAGGAUGUGAUAGAGACUGAUUUGGGUAUGAAUGUAAUACUAGGUGUCUAGAUGAGCCAGUGAAUUGGCUUAUAGGAACCGAGGUAGGGCUCAGGGUUGAUUGGAACCAGGUGAACUAGUUCUUUUAAGCAUUAAAAUGAUAGCGAGAGUCAAGCUUAGGACGUUAGAAAACGUUCAUAAAGUUUGAGAAGUCGGAUGAUGUUCCGAUGAAUCGCGUAGUGGUAAUAGCGUCGUUGUUGUAGAGUGGUUAGAUGAUCGCCUAGUUUUGGCGAGUUAGUCGAGCGGUACCUCAAAUAAGUUGAGGAAAUUUGUGUUUGUGCAUCGUAGGCGUAGGCUGAGUUGCCUAGCAUGUGGUGUUUAGUAAGAAAUGUGAUAGUAUAUGACGCUUGAGUAUAGGCGUCUGUAGAGUACGGAUUGUGGCUCAGUCAAGAGAGUGUGUUGGCAGUAGCACUUGAGCGUUGCUAGGUGUGAAGCGUGCCAUGGAUCACUCGUGCGGCUGGUGGCUCGCACUAAGUGCUUAGGAGCCGAUAGUGAUGUGGAUUGCUCGAUAGAACGUUUCGUGAAUGACGACGAUUGUGGAUAGUGCUUUGGGACGAUCCGUGCCUGGACCAUAUGUGCGCUAUGAGGCCUAGGGCCAUUUGGAUAGGCGCAGUUAGCUGUGUGGCAGCGGCCGGAUAUUUGUGGAUAGAACAGAGAUUUUGGUCAGGACGGUAGUCCGAGUUUGAAUAGGUAACGUGAUGUGUCACGUAUUAGACCGUGUGAUCGAUAGUACGCUGAGAAUGUGAAUUUGACCCACCCUUAAAAGUUGUAAGUGGUUUGGGAUUUGGAUUACUCCUGAUUGGGUUAAGUGUGCGAGCUCUCAACUGAGGACUUUGCCUUAUGAUGAUUGAGUAUGCGCUUGUGAGCGAGAGACGUUGUGUGAUAUUGUGACCGAGUUAGGUGAUAGGCCUACGUCGGAUCGGUGGGUUGUAAACCGAUAUAUGAUAGUUGGGACAAAUGGUUUAACCAAUUAUUCUCGAAAUGCAAGUGCUAGGUAAGAUGUUGUGGAUCUGGGGUAGUGACCAUAGGAGCGAAGGCUCGGUCCUACCGUUCGUUUAUUUUGAAUCGCCGAGUUAGGCGCUGACAAUGAGUUGAGAUUAGAGGCACGAACAAAGUGUUCGUGGAGACUUGUGGUGAUAAAUCGGUAUAACGCACAAUGUGGCUGAGAAAACAGAUACUACCUGGUAAACUCAUAUGUGAAUUGAGGAAGUUUAUCUAUGUGUAAGAUGUUGUGAGAUAUGGUAAGCGAUGGAAUCACUUUGGAAUUUGAAAUGUUGAGAUAUAGAAACGUGGCAACUGAGGUGAGAAAAUGCACCAUGAGUUCAAAUUGUCGAGCAGAACUCCAUAGGUGUUUCAAAGUGGGAGGCAUGGAGUUACUAGACGAAGCGAUUUGAGAACAAUAUCAAGGGUGCAUUCGGGACUUGUAAUAAUGAGAAAAUUUUAGAAUGAUAUAAUUUUGUAUAUUGGAAUUUGUUUCAUCUGGGUGAGGUGUCUAAGUUUCAGAUGAGCAGAGAGGUGUCUAAGUUUCGCGGACGAAACUUUUGGUUAACGGGAGAAGAAUGUAAUAUACCGGAAUUUUAAUAUAAAAAUAGAUGUAAAUAAAAAUAGUGUAAAAUACUAUUUUUAUUGGAUUUCGAGGAGUAAAAUAUAAGUCGAAAAUGACUUGUGCGAAAUUAGGGUGAAAACAGAAGAUUUAAAAUUUUCUGUAAGGAACGGGGCUGAUAUUUUAGCAGAAAAUGCACAGUGUCAGAAAAUUAUGAAAACUAGAGAAUAUGUCAGAAUUAUUUUUGUGAGGCUAGAUUUAAAGUUUCAUGUCAUUCUGACACCCGAUUAAUGUAUCGAGCAAUGCAAGUGAAGUAUAGGAUGGACGUGAGGACCUUAGGAUGAAACCAUAGGAUCUAGUUUCGUGAGAGCGAGAUCUUGUGUAUGGCGAGGUUUAACCGAUUGGGUCAUUGUUAAUAUAUCUCAAGGAUGUUAGAGGUGAAUCAGGUGUGUAUUUCAGCGGGGAUUCAUUGUUGGGUGCGUACACCAUGACGUGAUGAGAAUAGGCGCAGUCUUGAUAUGAUCAUUGCAUGAUUUGAGUCGGGGUUGCGAUAGAAUUGUUGUGUUUGACUGGAGGUCCAAAUUUGGUCCGUUAUUGAAUGCGUUUAUGGUUUUGUGUCUGACCGAUCUCUAAUUGAGAUCGAUGUGCGUUCUGGGAGAGUGAAAGUCCUAAAUGCGGAGCUUGAGUAAAUCCGAAUGUUGGGGCCUCGCAUUGUCAUGUUUUUGUAGUAUGGUAGCGGUAUGAGUCAUGUUGAUGCAUGUCAACGGUUGUCUGGUUUUGGAACGGAUUGGAUCGAUGAGAUUCAGGGGUGUGAAGUAAAGGUAAUGGGCUCCUGAUUGUGUGCAAGAAUAUAGAUGCGAUUAUAGAUUGAGUUCCGGCGGGUUUUUCUGACAGGAUUUGUAUAUUGGAAAGAAUAAGAAUAUAUUGUUUAAGACCAGUGAACGAGGUGAAUUAUCGGCUAGUUUGGAUGCCUAUAGUAGCGGACUUGUUCGUGGUAAGGUAUGUAGAGAGUUUCUGACACUAAAUUGGUGUGUUAGUACACAAUGUGAGUAUUGGCUGUUUGGUGGAGUGGAUACUACAAUGUGUCGAUGAUUUUGUGCAUUUAUGAAUUGAAGCUUGAUUAAGUAUUAACUUAGAGGACCUUGAUGUUGAAGAGGGUGAUGUUUCGUGUGGAGAGAGCGCCGAACGAAUUAGUUGAUAUGGAGGUGGUGACUAGAUGUUUUGGUUGGCGGAUCAAAUCGGAUGGAGCGAACCCAAAAGUAGAAUUGUAGUCGCCAGAUUUCAAUGUCGAAAGGUUUUCUGGGAUAUUCGAGAGGAAUUGCGUUGUGGUGAUUUUCAACGAUGUGGCGUGUGUGUUGCUUGGGAUGGAUGGAGGUUGUAGUAGUUUGACUUCAAUAAGAGAAAUUGUUGCUUGAGAUUGAUGUGAACUAAGCGCAUUGUAGAUACGUUACAAGGGAUGUGAUAGAGAACUGUUAUUUGGGUAGAUGUUAUACCUAGUGUGCAUGAUGAUUGCCAGUGAAUGGUUAUACAGUGACGAGGUUAGGGCUCAGGUGUAAUUGGAAAGAGUGAACUAGUUCUUUAAGCUUAAAAAUGAUAGCGAGAGUUCAGUUAGGAAGGUGGGUGGUGCUAUCCGAAAUCUUUGAAUCACCUUUUAUGUCUAUGAUAAUUCAUUGAGCAUAUUUAUAUUUGUAGUCAUACAUUAUAGGGUAUUGGCAUUGUGCAAGUGAAAGUAUGAAUUCCUAUCAACAGUAAGAACAUGUGAACAUUAGAAUGUGGAUAUAGAACCCUAUGAAUGUAUGGACUAUAACAAUAGUGAACUUGGUGACAUUCUAACUAGAGAUUUGGUUAGCAUUGAGAAAUGAAAGUGCAACUAGCAUAAAGAGCUAGUUAGAGUUAAAGUAUGACAUUGUCUAUUGUUGAAUCCUCUAAAGGAGGAUCAGAUCAUACUCACAUAGUCUGUUUUGAGCUUGGUGGUGGUCGCUCCACCCAAGCAGUGCACUCCGGAGGUUGUCAUAUGAUGGGCUAAAGUAUUUGCCCAUGAACUAAAGUAUCUGUCCAGCAGACGAUCCCGUCGGGAGGCAGCUUAGGGCCCGAUUAUCAGGGAUUGCGUUGGUGAGUUAUUGUUAACCAAAGGGUUAACCAAUGGAUUGGGUAAUUUCAAUAAAAGCAUGCAUGCAUAUUCACCAGUUUUCAUAUAUUACUUCUUUCAGCUUUGUAUAGGCAUUGUAGUAGUUACAUGUUAUAGUUGGUUACUAUCUGUUUACUUUUCUUGCCUACAUAUGCCUGAAUAGACCUAGUGGGUGAGUUGGCGAGGUCGACGGCCGAACCCACUGGGAACUUUUAGUAGUUCUCAUACCACUAACCAUACAGGUUCUAGUGCGAGCGGUGUGGUCGAGGAUCGCGGCAAGAGCCCUGCAGCUUAGCUAGCAGACACCAGUGUUUAGUGGUAUAUACACGUUUGGUUUCAUAUUGUACAUAAUGAUGAAUAGAGACUUGUAAAUGAAUGUAUAAAAGAGCAUGUAAAUAACUAAAUGUUUCAAUUAUUCAGUUAUGUAUAGUUCAGUUUUAAAAGUUUUAAAUUAUAGGAAAUUUUAUGUAUAGUUAGUUACUUUCACUUGUGCUUGUUGCUUGCCCUCGUGCAAGCCAUGUAUAUUGAAAUAUUCUCCUGGGAUUAUUUCUUUCUUUAUACGUGUAGCUAUAAUUGUUGAGCCUUGGGCAGACAGGGGAGGUGCUGUCCGUUCGGCGUCUGUGUACGGGCCCGGAUCGACCAAAUUGGCAAUAGCGGGACGUGACACUAGGGAUUGGGGCAAGGGGUUGGCGACUAGCUAGAGCCCUAUGGAGAUACAUUAGAUGGACCCAGUGUCAUCAUUCCUUUUGUACUUAUGGAAAUGAUGUACUAUGUUUUUUGCUUCUGAGUAGUCAUAGGAUUCUGGAUAUUAGUAGUACUUUUGUAUAGUUUGUGAGUCUUCUAAUAUUAGAAUUUUAUGGUUUUAUUGUAUUCGCUCUGAUAACCUUGUUAGUAUCUUGAACUUGUUCAUUCUUUUGGUAGACGCCUUGUGUGCAUUAUGGUUAUUUGGUGUACAUGGCGGGUCUGGACACGUUACUGUGAGCUUCCGCUGAAGUCCAGGGCGUGACAGUUGUAGUGCUCACAUGACAGGAAAAGGAUAUUUAUUUAUUGAGAUGGAUAAAUCGAUACGGAAAUCGAUCAAAAUAGGAGAUGGCCGAGUUCGUGAAGCACAAGGAAAAGAGUGGUGAAGGUAAUUUU
rnacentral:lncRNA from 1 species